CCUACGGGAGGCAGCAGUGAGGAAUAUUGGUCAAUGGGCGGGAGCCUGAACCAGCCAAGCCGCGUGAGGGAAGAAGGUACAGCGUAUCGUAAACCUCUUUUGUCAGGGAACAAAGGCGGGGACUAGUCCCCGGAUGAGGGUACCUGAAGAAAAAGCAUAGGCUAACUCCGUGCCAGCAGCCGCGGUAAUACGGAGGAUGCGAGCGUUAUCCGGAUUUAUGGGGUUUAACGGGUGCGCAGGCGGCCUGUUAAGUCAGCGGUAAAAGCCCGGGGCUCAACCCCGGCGAGCCGUUGAAACGGGCGGGCUGGAGUUGGAGAGAAGUACGCGGAAUGCGCGGUGUAGCGGUGAAAUGCUUAGAUAUCGCGCAGAACCCCGAUUGCGAAGGCAGCGUACCGGCUCCACACUGACGCUGAGGCACGAAAGCGUGGGUAUCGAACAGGAUUAGAUACCCUAGUAGUC
rnacentral:rRNA from 1 species